CAGUGCCGUAGGGAUCUCGUUGGCGGACCCCCUGUAGACGGCUCAGAAAUGAGCCGAGCUCCGGCGUGGUGAAGGUCUGCCUGUGAGGACUACAAAAUCCACAGCGAUGAGCCCAGCGCCGCCGUCGUGUUCAUCACGCCGCCGCUUAUUCUGCUCAUUCAAAUGCCGCCGCCUUGCUCAUUAGCUCUUUGACCUCGGGUCAUGAGCACGAGACUCGUCAGGAAAGGAAGAAGGUGAGGAAAAAGGAAGGUAGGAUAAAACAAAUGGGUACAACUUUAAAGCAUGUGAUGCACAUGGGGGUAGUCUGUUGCCUAGCAACAUGGAAUCCAAGACACGUUUAAAGCAUGAAAAGUCCACAUGAAGACACACAGCACCACAUGCUUGCACAACAACACCGCGUUUGAUGCAGCGACGGGGCUGCCAUGAUGGAAGGCUUUUCCCAGCCUCUGCGCCCAUGGAGGUAAAAGUGGCGCGAUGAGGAGGAGGACCAGGAGGAGAAUGUUAAAUAUGUCCUUCAGACCCCAGGGGAGGAAGAGGAGAGAAAGGAGCGAGCUGUUUCUUCUUCACCAUUUCAAAAGCCACCUUCCAUAUUUAUCAUUCUACAAAAUGACCUUUGAGCCCUGCCGACAGCGGCGAUAGCUAGCGCCAAUUGUGACAAAUUCAACUGAGAUUAUUGAUGGCAAAAUAUCAGAAUAAAUCGGCGCAAACCCUUGCAAAGACACCCAAAGCAUGUCAUCAUGUUUACAAUACAUGCAGGAAACACUAGGAAAUACACACUUCUAUCGUUGCGCUCAAACCAGAGCCCUGCACCGAACCCCAAUACUGACCAAGACACAUUUGCUUAUAUUGUGCCAUCUCUAACUUUAAACCUAAACUCUGACACAGGUGUCAAACGCAAGGCCCAUGCGGCCUGCCACAUCAUUUUAUGCGGCAAAUCAUGUGUGUCAAUUUCCAUAAAUCUGUACCAAAAAUAAAAAUUGUCACUGUAAUAGA